rnacentral:rRNA from 1 species
UACGUAGGGUGCGAGCGUUAAUCGGAAUUACUGGGCGUAAAGAGCUCGUAGGCGGCUUGUCACGUCGGGGGUGAAAGCCCGGGGCUUAACCCCGGGUCUGCAUUCGAUACGGGCUAGCUAGAGUGUGGUAGGGGAGAUCGGAAUUCCUGGUGUAGCGGUGAAAUGCGCAGAUAUCAGGAGGAACACCGGUGGCGAAGGCGGAUCUCUGGGCCAUUACUGACGCUGAGGAGCGAAAGCGUGGGGAGCAAACAGG